rnacentral:rRNA from 1 species
UACGGAGGGGGCGAGCGUUAUUCGGAAUUAUUGGGCGUAAAGGGCGCGUAGGCGGCUCCGCAAGUCAAAGGUGAAAUCCCUCGGCUCAACUGAGGAACUGCCUUUGAAACUGUGGAGCUUGAGUCCGGGAGGGGGUAGCGGAAUUCCCAGUGUAGCGGUGAAAUGCGUAGAUAUUGGGAGGAACACCAGUGGCGAAGGCGGCUACCUGGACCGGAACUGACGCUGAUGCGCGAAAGCGUGGGGAGCGAACAGG